rnacentral:rRNA from 1 species
CUAUGGUUCUAUUUUGUUGGUACAUAGAACUGCAGUAAUGAUUAAUAGGGACAUUUGGGGGCGUUAGUACGUCUAUGUUAGAGGUGAAAUUCUUAGAUCGUAGACUGACUAACUACUGCGAAAGCAUUCGCCAAGUAUGUUUUCAUUGAUCAAGAACGAAAGUUGGGGUAUCGAAGACGAUUAGACACCGUUGUAGUCUCAACCAUAAACUAUGCCGACUAGGGAUCAGUAGACACCUUUGGGUUCUAUUGGCACCUUACGAGAAAUCAAAGUUUUUGGGUUUCGGGGGGAGUAUGGUCGCAAGGCUGAAACUUAAAGAAAUUGACGGAAGGGCACCACCAGGCGUGGAGCUUGCGGCUUAAUUUGACUCAACACGGGGAAACUCACCAG